rnacentral:rRNA from 1 species
AGUGAACGCUGGCGGUAGGCCUAACACAUGCAAGUCGAACGGCAGCACAGUAAGAGCUUGCUCUUACGGGUGGCGAGUGGCGGACGGGUGAGGAAUACAUCGGAAUCUACUUUUUCGUGGGGGAUAACGUAGGGAAACUUACGCUAAUACCGCAUACGACCUACGGGUGAAAGCAGGGGAUCUUCGGACCUUGCGCGAUUGAAUGAGCCGAUGUCGGAUUAGCUAGUUGGCGGGGUAAAGGCCCACCAAGGCGACGAUCCGUAGCUGGUCUGAGAGGAUGAUCAGCCACACUGGAAGUGAGAAACGGCCAAGACCCCUAAGGGAGGCAGAAGGGGGGAAUAUUGGACAAUGGGCGCAAGCCUGAUCCAGCCAUACCGGGUGGGUGAAGAAGGCCUUCGGGUUGUAAAGCCCUUUUGUUGGGAAAGAAAAGCAGCAGGUUAAUACCCCGCUGUUUUGGCGGUACCAAAAGAAGAAGCACCGGCGAACUUCGU